UAUCAUUAUAGCGAUUACGCCACUAGAAGCACUAGUCAUUGUUGCACACGGACGCUCGAUAGCCGGCGUAAAUUUGUGACGCUUUCACAAAAAUUCGACGAACGGAGAGUGUGUAUGCGUUCCGUUAUAGUGAAAAUAACAACGAUAACUUUAUAUAUAUAUAUAUAUAUAUAUUACGACGGCUAGAUGAACUCGAACAAUUACCAACAGAAACGUACGUACAUGUAGUGCGCGACGUCUGCUGACAUAUAUAAGUACUUAUGGGCGAUAGUGAUGUAAUAUAUAUAUAUCUAUUAAUCUGGUGUAGAAAAGUGCUCGUCGGCCUCUAGCAGCUGCAGACCUAGGAAGGAAGGCUGAAAGUUGAUUAGAUCGUUUUGAAAAAAACAAAACUAUAUUUGUUGCAGUGUUUCUUUGCCGUUUAUAAUCAUCGUUGUAUAAUUAAAGUACAUCGAGGUAUGCAACUCACCAGGGCAGCUAUUAAGCCAACACGAUUUGAUUGCCCACAGUAGAUGCCAGUCGUCAGUCAGGUCCGUUCAUUGGCUACCUGGUCAAGUCAGCCAUUGGCCUUCCCGGACUUAAGUCGGCUGGUCAUUUUUAAUUUCGGCCCUUUUUUCGUGGUCGUUACAUAAGACCGCCCGUUAACGCUGUGUGUCUUUCAAUUCACACACGUAGAUUCCCGUGAGUUCACCAGGUUAAUUGCGGUCCAAUGGUGAGACCCUCAACUGAAUUGUGUGAUAGUACUGACUAACUGGUUCACGGCGUAGGGUCUAGACAGACAGCCAGGGAGAAAACUGUCAAGCCAAGCCUACUGCCGCUCACUGCACGAUAUUGCCAGAGAAAAAAGGUGCAGUGGUUGCUCUCAAAAUAAAGAAAAACGCCGAUAUUUCAACUAUUGUUCUGUCGACUACUGAGUAGUUUGGCAGCUGAGCUGGCCUAUCUGAUGUCUGGACAGAUGUCAACAUGCCAAGCCUAAUGGUAGAAGGUUUUCAAUGGCCGCAUGAUCGCAAGAACGUAAAACGACAUCUCGCGGAAGGCACAUCCAACAUCCAACAAGCGUCAACUAUAUUGCCUAGUAUUUAGCCUUCGAAAAUUGCCCACGACUACCGGCUACUGUUGGGAGAAUAUAGAACACGUUCUUAAGACAGUGCACACAUGCAAGAGGAAGGACUCCCACAACUGCUGGAACAACUCUCACCCUUAACAGCUUCAGCAUCGUAUGUGUGGCUAGUCGAAAUCUGACUAGAUCAUGCGGCAGUCGAAAGUGGAAAUAGUAGAACUUCUUUCUCCUAAACAAGCGGACAGCGCAGAACAAGUUUCAACUCCGUUGAAAAGAUGCAUUUCUACCUUUGUUUUGCGACACACUUAUACCCACAGCUGCGGUGGAAACAGCGCCCGAACCAAAAGCGGAUGCCAUAUAGAUUUCGGCGUAUAGGACGGCCCGUUAUGAGCAUUCAGCCGAACGGAAAUUCACAAUGGCAGCAAAACAUUGAUCGUCUACAGACGGAAAUAACCAGGCAGCUGCAAGCGAUACUCGUGGCUUCGAUUUUUGAAUAUAGAUACAACAAAUAGUGUAGAAUAGAUCCUUUCGCGUACCAUGUACAACUUUUUUGGCGCAUUUGUGGCCCGAGGAUCGACGGUAGCGAGCAAGCGACAAUCAGAUACAUUAACAUAGUUAGUCGCACGAUGCGUUGCCAACGGAAAAGACAAAGAAAUCCGCGUCUGAGAUAGCGUGGCACCAAGAAGAACACCAAUGGCGGGGAGCACCAGAUAUAUGCAUGAAACUAUAACGUGCAUCUGUGGGAAAGAACGAGGCAAAUGAAAGAAAACGCUAAAAAAGUAACUACUUUUUUAGCGUUUUCUUUCAUUUAUAUAGAUUUAUGCAUGGAGAGCUUUUAAGCCCAGCUAAAAAACUUCAUCAGAAGUGAGUUGGGAAUUGAUUUACCACUUCGUAACGAAGAUCGUACACGUUAUCUCUGUGUUGAAGCUGAAGAUAAAUAGCGACUAAAGGAACUGUGUAGCAAUAUUGUGCCGUUUCGGCUCGGAGUUAAUCAACAUCAAUUUAUAUUAUCAAAGGAUGUUGAGUUUAAUAGUCGCGGGAUAAUAUACAUAGCGACAAUGGCCAUAAAAAUUCAUUAAGCGGAAAUAGACCACAAUCCUGUAUACUUUUCGUGUUGAUUAUCAUCGACUCCCCUUCCAUCUAUUGACCCUCGUACAAUUGCCAAAACAAUCUCUGUUUGCCACACUUCGUUUGUGAUAUGCCCACACCUUAUCUUACGUAUUUCGACAAGAACAAGGCUCUUCACCCUUCACCCUUCUUAACUUUCGUUUGCCUCAGAGACACGAUGCCUAUGCAUUAAAAUCAAAAUGGUCAUUUUCAAUAAAUGAAAAGAAAAUUUAACUUUCCUUGCAAUUGUCAGUGGUACGUUGCCCCUGGUGGUUGCCAUUA